UACGUAGGGUGCAAGCGUUGUCCGGAAUCAUUGGGCGUAAAGAGCGUGUAGGCGGCCCGAUAAGUCCGCCGUGAAAGUCCAGGGCUCAACCCUGGAAUGCCGGUGGAAACUGUCGGGCUGGAGUCCGGAAGAGGCGAGUGGAAUUCCUGGUGUAGCGGUGAAAUGCGCAGAUAUCAGGAGGAACACCAAUGGCGAAGGCAGCUCGCUGGGACGGUACUGACGCUGAGACGCGAAAGCGUGGGGAGCAAACAGG
rnacentral:rRNA from 1 species